CCAUAAAGAGAAGGUGAGAGACAAGCUCAAUGACCCUUCAGCAACCCCUACUUACUAGCUCGGUGCUAAAGCUUGAAUGAUGGAUUAACAUUAAGGUCCAUUAUGG
rnacentral:ncRNA from 2 species